CUUCACACAUUUGGAGUGAAAUCAUGUGCACAUGCGAAUCCAAAGCACCCGGUGUGAUGAUCAUAUGUUCACCAGCAAUUACUUCUGUGCACGACCCAAUCACCAUACCUGGGGUGACCGAGGCCAUGGUGUCUGGGUUCCCCGACUUACCGAUGCCGGCGAUCAGACCAUCCUUGAUACCGAUAUCGGCUUUGAUGAUACCCUGGUAAUCAAUGAUCAUGGCAUUGGUAAUCACAGUAUCCAAAACAUCUUCGGCAGGACGGCCGACCGAUUGGCCCAUACCAUCACG
rnacentral:sRNA from 1 species